AUUGAACGCUGGCGGCAGGCCUAACACAUGCAAGUCGAACGAGUGGCGGACGGGUGAGUAAUGUCUGGGAAACUGACCGAUGGAGGGGGAUAACUACUGGACACGGUAGCUAAUACCACAUACCAUCGGAUGUGCCCAAAUGGGAUUAGCUAGUAGGUUGGGUAACGGCUCACCAAGGCGACGAUCCCUAGCUGGUCUGAGAGGAUGACCAGCCACACUGGAACUGAGACACGGUCCAGACUCCUACGGGAGGCAGCAGUGGGGAAUAUUGCACAAUGGGCGAAAGCCUGAUGCAGCCAUGCCGCGUGUAUGAAGAAGGCCUUCGGGUUGUAAAGUACUUUCAGCGAGGAGGCGUUACUCGCAGAAGAAGCACCGGCUAACUCCGUGCCAGCAGCCGCGGUAAUUC
rnacentral:rRNA from 1 species